CCUACGGGUGGCAGCAGUGGGGAAUAUUGCACAAUGGGGGAAACCCUGAUGCAGCGACGCCGCGUGAGCGAAGAAGUAUUUCUGUAUGUAAAGCUCUAUCAGCAGGGAAGAAAAUGACGGUACCUGAGUAAGAAGCUCCGGCUAACUACGUGCCAGCAGCCGCGGUAAUACGUAUGGGGCAAGCGUUAUCCGGAUUUACUGGGUGUAAAGGGAGCGUAGACGGCCUGGCAAGCCAGAUGUGAAAUACCGGGGCUCAACCCCGGGGCUGCAUUUGAAACUGGUAGGCUGGAGUGUCGGAGAGGCAGGCGGAAUUCCUAGUGUAGCGGUGAAAUGCGUAGAUAUUAGGAGGAACACCAGUGGCGAAGGCGGCCUGCUGGACGGUGACUGACGCUGAGGCUCGAAAGCGUGGGGAGCAAACAGGAUUAGAUACCCGUGUAGUC
rnacentral:rRNA from 1 species